AUUCAUAUUCCUAUGUAGGAUAAGAAUCAAUCCUUCACAUUUCAACACAGCGACACACGAGGUGUGGAGACACACAACAAUAGGUCAGGAUGGUGGUCCGGCAAGAUGCGACAACUUAAUCGGGUGCGGGAGAUGUGCUCCUCGUUCUCUACAGUGAUCACAUACUUUGGUAAAUAGAAAACCAGAAACUCUGUGUUAGGAUCUCUACUUUGAUGUGGGAAAUUUGGAACUGCGAAAAUGAUAUAUAUUUUGAACACGGACGGGUAAUUGGCCCAUUUGUGAUUCCAAACAAUACACAGGCGAAGGACGAAAAAAAAUUAAGGUGUGGAGAAGUCUUAAGGAAAGAAUCCUUUUGAUGAAAAUCGAAAGAGUCAAUACACAUUACAAAUGAAAACCAAAUACAAUGAAAAUGUAGACAUGUUUCAAUAGAAAAACAACCUACAAUAUAUCGAGAAUGAAGCUGUCAAUGACGUCUAGAAGAUCUAGGUAAUGGCAAUGCCCUACCCUCAUUCUGAUAAUCUUCCUG
rnacentral:lncRNA from 1 species